AUCCAACUGACAAGUCCCAAAUAGGACGAAACGCGUCUCAAACUGGAU
rfam:Schistosoma haematobium scaffold929_39, whole genome shotgun sequence.